rnacentral:rRNA from 1 species
UACGUAGGGAGCUAGCGUUGUUCGGAAUUACUGGGCGUAAAGCGCGCGUAGGCGGCUUUGUAAGUUAGAGGUGAAAGCCCGGGGCUCAACCCCGGAACAGCCUUUAAGACUGCAUCGCUAGAAUCCGGGAGAGGUGAGUGGAAUUCCGAGUGUAGAGGUGAAAUUCGUAGAUAUCGGAAGGAACAUCAGUGGCGAAAGCGACUUCCUGGACCAAUACUGACGCUCAUGUGCGAAAGCGUGGGGAGCAAACAGG